rnacentral:lncRNA from 1 species
GGCCCUAAAUGCAGUCACGUGUAUCCUGGUCAGAGGGAGAUCUGACACACACUGAUGCUGUGCGAUGGGAGAGCAGAGAGAGAUUCGGAGAUGCUGGCGGAUUGGAGCGAUGCAGACCACAAGCUGAGGAAAACCAGCAGCCCCCAGAAGCUGGAGGAGGCAAGGAAUGGAUUCUUCCUGGAUCCACCAGAGGGAGCACGGCGCUGCCAGUACCUUGCUCGUGACCCAUGACACUGAGUGGAUUUCUGGCCUCAAGAACCAAACAUUUUCCAGGUGCCUCCUGUGUGCUGAGUGCUGAUGGAAGCCUUGCACACCAGGAGACCUUCAGGACACAAGCUGCCGCUAGCCAGCCUGGGCGGCACUGUCAACAGCCCUCUCAGGAAGGAGCAAACAGCUGGUCUCUGAGUCCCUGAGGGAGGAGUAAGAGGAAGCAGAUUUAAAUUUCAACAGUGACAACACAGGCCUGACACAAAUGACAACUGUCGAAUUCUACAAGAUUUCCUUAAUUGGGCCUAAAAAGAGCAGCAGACAAGGUAGCUAUGUGCAGAAUGCUUUGGGUAUAUUUCUGCCUGGAAGCAGAGAUUUAUGAGUCCUUGAUUUUUUUUUAAAGUUUGUUUAUUUUUAGAUUUGUAAAGUAACAUUUGCUCAC